rnacentral:rRNA from 1 species
UACGUAGGGGGCAAGCGUUGUCCGGAAUCAUUGGGCGUAAAGCGCGCGUAGGCGGCUCGCUCAGUCUGUUGUGAAAGUCAAAGGCUCAACCUUUGAAUGCCGAUGGAUACUGUCGAGCUAGAGUCCGGAAGAGGCGGGUGGAAUUCCUGGUGUAGCGGUGGAAUGCGCAGAUAUCAGGAGGAACACCAACGGCGAAGGCAGCCCGCUGGGACGGUACUGACGCUAAGGCGCGAAAGCGUGGGGAGCGAACAGG